CAGAAACUGAAGCUGCAGGUGUAAUAAAAGAAUGAUCAUUACCUCUGGGACUGUAUGAAAAUGAAAUGGUAUGAAGAAAAGAUACUGAGCACAAUAACAAACUGCAAUCAGGAAAAGAACCAAAACGUUUACUUAAUUAGGAUGCAUCAUUAAUUUUAGUGUCUCAUGAACUCCUAAGGCCUUUCACCCCUUGUAGAA